GUUAAUGAGCAAUCCAAAUGUUUAAUCAAAAAAAAAAAAAAAAACCCCACAAUGGCCUCAGUAUUUGGACCUGAGUGACGAAAACCCUGGUAGCCUUCCAGGGGGAAGCUGUUGGGGGAACUGCACUUGGCGUGGGGAGGCAGGAGCCUGGCUCACAGUGGGUCAGCUCUGAGAUGCUGGAGAUCCCCAAGGGGGCUGAGAAGACAAGUGGGGGCGCCGGAAGCGAACAGGUCAGGCCCUCCAGAUCCAGGACUCGAAUCCAAGCAGGCUUCUGACGGCAGCGUCCCCAGAGAUGCGACCGCCUGGAUCUGUUGGCUCCACCUUCAAGACAUCUCUGGCAUCGGACACCCCCUACCUCCCAAGGCGUCCCCCUGCCCGCCCUUCACAGUCCACCACCCAGCAGCAGCCAGAGGGGCCCCCGUGAAACCGAGCCAGGACGCCCUCCGCUGCUGGGCCGCAGGAGGAUCGAAGCCCAGCCCGGCCCACAGGAACCUUGCCGGUGCCAGAAGACCAGCCUGCAGGCCCGAGGCUGCAGCCUCCCUGGGUGCUCCCGGAGAGGAGGAGAGAGGGCAGCACCAAGGCUGGCUUAGAGGUCCCCCCAGUACCGUCUCCAGCAGCCUCAACCCUGCUGGGGGUCCCCCUCUCAGGGCUGGUUUAUCCCUCCUUCCUGCCCUCCUCAGCUCUCCUGGUCCUUCCAGUGCUCCUGGCUCGGCGAUGCACAUCUCAGGGCACCCCAGCCCCUCCUGUGGGUCUUCCCUGCCUGCUCCAGCCCUCACCACCUGCACGGAGC
rnacentral:lncRNA from 1 species